UCCGGUUGAUCCUGCCAGAGGUUACUGCUAUCGAGGUUCGACUAAGCCGUGCGAGUCGAAUGUAGCAAUACAUGGCGUACUGCUCAGUAACACGUGGACAACCUGCCCUUAGGUUGGGUAUAAACCCGGGAAACUGGGUAUAAUCCCCUAUAAGUCUCGGCUGCUGGAAUGCACCGAGAUUAAAAGCUCCGGCGCCUAAGGAUGGGUCUGCGGCCUAUCAGGUAGUAGUGGGUGUAGCGUACCUACUAGCCUACGACGGGUACGGGUUGUGAGAGCAAGAGCCCGGAGAUGGAUUCUGAGACACGAAUCCAGGCCCUACGGGGUGCAGCAGGCGCGAAAACUUUACAAUGCUGGCAACAGCGAUAAGGGAACCUCGAGUGCCAGGUUACAAAUCUGGCUGUCGAGAUGCCUAAAAAGCAUUUCAUAGCAAGGGCCGGGCAAGACCGGUGCCAGCCGCCGCGGUAACACCGGCGGCUCGAGUGGUAACCGUUAUUAUUGGGUCUAAAGGGUCUGUAGCCGGCCGGAUAAGUCUCUUGAGAAAUCUGGCAGCUUAACUGUCAGGCUCUCAGGAGAUACUGUCUGGCUCGAGGCCGGGAGAGGUGAGAGGUACUUCAGGGGUAGGGGUGAAAUCUUGUAAUCCUUGAAGGACCACCAGUGGCGAAGGCGUCUCACCAGAACGGACCUGACGGCAAGGGACGAAAAGCUAGGGGCACGAACCGGAUUAGAUACCCGGGUAGUCCUAGCCGUAAACGAUACUCGCUAGGUGUCGGCCACGGUGCGACCGUUGUCGGUGCCGUAGGGAAGCCGUGAAGCGAGCCACCUGGGAAGUACGGCCGCAAGGCUGAAACUUAAAGGAAUUGGCGGGGGAGCACCACAACGGGUGGAGCUUGCGGCUUAAUUGGAUUCAACGCCGGAAAUCUUACCGGGACCGACAGCAAUAUGAAGGCCAGGCUGAAGACUUUGCCGGAUUAGCUGAGAGGUGGUGCAUGGCCGUCGUCAGUUCGUACUGUGAAGCAUCCUGUUAAGUCAGGUAACGAGCGAGACCCA
rnacentral:rRNA from 1 species